rnacentral:lncRNA from 1 species
UAUAUACUCUGUCUUUCUCUCUCACACUUCUCUCUCCUCACCGCAGUGCUCUGCUCUGCCACCUCUUCUCUCAUCUUCCAUUUACCCUAAUUUCACUUUUUUAUUUCAUUUUCUUUCUUCUUUCGCAUUUAUCACCGUUUUUUCUAUUCACUUCCCUCUCCUCGUUUUCCUUUUUUCCCCAAAUCAAAAACAAAAAAAUUCUAUACAAUUCCUGCAAAAUAUUGUGGUAUUUAUUGUUUAAUUUCAUGAAUAUGAAUUUCAUGAAUAUACUGUCUGCUGAGUUUAUCUAGCUUUUCUAUUCUUCCUAGGUUUCGUUGUUCUCGGUAAUAAGAGGAGGGGGAAGAGAAAAAAAAAUUAGAAAAAAAAUUCAAAAAGGGGAAAUUAGGAAAAUAUUUUUGAAAACCCAAAAAAACAAAAUUUGAUUAUUUUUGAAAUUGAGAUGGCCCAGGUUCAGCCUCAAAAUGCCAUGUCCGGUCCUAAUGGUGGUGCUGCGGCCGCAGCUGCGGCAGCUGGUGCUGGUGGAAAUCAGUUUGUGACAACUUCGCUUUACGUCGGAGAUCUGGAUCCGAAUGUAACUGAUUCUCAGCUGUAUGACUUGUUCAACCAAUUGGGUCAAGUUGUGUCUGUUAGGGUUUGCAGGGAUUUGACCACUAGGAGGUCACUUGGUUAUGGUUAUGUCAACUUC